rnacentral:lncRNA from 1 species
CAGGCAUCUCAUAGAGCACUGCACCCUAAAAAUUCUUCUACGACCUUAGGAAGCAAGAAGGACCACUCCUACUCCUACUCCACAUGAUGCAGAAGCACUUCCCCAUCCUCUCUCAUGGGGCAAAGCUGAACGAAGUACUAUGCCAUGAAAUGUGGAACGUGGCUUCCUGAACAAUGGCAGACAGUCUGAAUGUUGAAAUGUGAAGGUGCAGGGGAAUUUGUUCACCAUGGAUUGAAAGUUAACCAAACAGAAAUGGCAGAUAGGAGACAGCCAGACAUGCAAUUUCCUUCUAGUCCUUCAGUUCUUCAUGCUGAGUAAGCACACCUGCCAAAAAACUUGAGUGAGUUUUUUCCUGGACACUUAACAAAGCAGGUGCCAACAGGGAAAUAAAUUAUCGUGCCGCUUUAAAUAUUUCCCUGUUUCAUUUCCCACUUACCUCCACAACACCCGCCCUAAACUCACACCUUCCAAAUUAUCCUGCUAUACAAUACAAUCUCAGACACACAAUAUCUAGAAAUAGUCAAUUAUUUGUAUUUUUCAGGAAUUAUCAUUAUAAUUAUUUAAUUUUUGGAGUUGGAGAAUGGUUGCAUGGAAUUAAAAAUUAUAUAAUAUUUCUCCUUACUAUGAAAAUAGGAUUAUGAGAAAUUUUUGAGGUGUUAAGGUGAUGGUUUACAAAUAACCUCAACCGAUGCAGGGAAACUAAGCAUUAAUUGUAUCUUUUGUUUGUAUUUUACUGUGACUCAGUGAGACAAUUAGAUUCAAUAAUGAGUUUCACAAUCUUAGUCAAAACGGAAGUAUAUGUUUAUUGUCAUUUGUAAUAAUUAAUAAAACAGAUGUGUUUUAGUUUUCCAUCUAUGUUUUUAGUUAAGCUCAUCUGUUCCUUAUUAUUUUUUAUUUUUAAAAAAUUUUGUCCCUUUUACACUUUAUAAUUAAUAAUAAUUUUUUUCUUUAUUUAGCUUAUUUGCUACAUUCAGUAAGAAUGUUUAAGAUAUAACACAAAAUGAUAGAUGAAAUUUAUUAACCAUUUCUGUUUUUGGCUUUUUAGUUUUUCCCCAUUCUUGAGAAUAAAAGUAUGCUUUAAGCCAUUGACAGUAGUUUAUUUACGGACACAAAUUAUAGGCAUGGGAGGACAGGUUUCUUAAAAGAUAUUUUAAGUCUGAAUUUUUUUACUUCUAAGUGUUUACUUAAAUUUUUUCUUCUUUUUCCAGUGGACGCCUGCAUAUUGAAUUAUUUCAUCUGAGGCAAACUACAAUGGAAAAAUAAAAUCACCUGAAAUGAUGAACAGUUAAGUUAUAAAUGAAUGCUGACAAUAGAAAACAGUUAGCAUAAUGUCUUGUGUAGUUUAAAUAUAUGUAGAAGUAAGAUGAACUUAACAAUGACACAAAAUCUGAAAUGGAGUAAACACAUUUCGAGUGUUCUCUAAUUCUAACAGCAUUGGAUAAACUGGUAGAGAAAAUAAUUUGUAUUGAAUAUAAUAAAUAAAACACAGAAAAUGUAAUAUCUCAUAAUAUUUAGUAGAACCAGUAAAAUAAUAUUGAAAGAAUGUAACUAAGAAACCAAAUACAGAAAAAAAAUUAUUAAUUCAAAA